UUACGGUCAAAUCACGCUGAAAACACCGGUUCUCGUUCGAACACCGAAGUUAAGCCAUCGUAGAGCCAGGUCAGUACUUAGAUGGGGGACCGCUUGGGAACACCUGGUACUGUAAG
rnacentral:rRNA from 1 species